AGAACGAACGCUGGCGGCAUGCCUAAUACAUGCAAGUCGAACGAACACUUCGGUGUUAGUGGCGCACGGGUGCGUAACGCGUGGGAAUCUGCCCUUGGGUUCGGAAUAACAGUUGGAAACGACUGCUAAUACCGGAUGAUGACGAAAGUCCAAAGAUUUAUCGCCCAGGGAUGAGCCCGCGUAGGAUUAGCUAGUUGGUGAGGUAAAGGCUCACCAAGGCGACGAUCCUUAGCUGGUCUGAGAGGAUGAUCAGCCACACUGGGACUGAGACACGGCCCAGACUCCUACGGGAGCAGCAGUAGGGAAUAUUGGACAAUGGGCGCGAGCCUGAUCCAGCAAUGCCGCGUGAGUGAUGAAGGCCUUAGGGUUGUAAAGCUCUUUUACCCGAGAUGAUAAUGACAGUAUCGGAGAAUAAGCCCCGGCUAACUCCGCGCCAGCAGCCGC
rnacentral:rRNA from 1 species